rnacentral:rRNA from 1 species
GAGUUUGAUCGUGGCUCAGAUUGAACGCUGGCGGCAUGCCUUACACAUGCAAGUCGAACGGUAACAGGUCUUCGGAUGCUGACGAGUGGCGAACGGGUGAGUAAUACAUCGGAACGUGCCCGAUCGUGGGGGAUAACGGAGCGAAAGCUUUGCUAAUACCGCAUACGAUCUACGGAUGAAAGCAGGGACCGCAAGGCCUUGCGCGGACGGAGCGGCCGAUGGCAGAUUAGGUAGUUGGUGGGAUAAAAGCUUACCAAGCCGACGAUCUGUAGCUGGUCUGAGAGGACGACCAGCCACACUGGGACUGAGACACGGCCCAGACUCCUACGGGAGGCAGCAGUGGGGAAUUUUGGACAAUGGGCGAAAGCCUGAUCCAGCCAUGCCGCGUGCAGGAUGAAGGCCUUCGGUU